AGAGUUUGAUCCUGGCUCAGGAUGAACGCUAGCUACCGGCUUAACACAUGCAAGUCGAGGGGAAACGACAUCGAAAGCUUGCUUUUGAUGGGCGUUCGACCGGCGCACGGGUGAGUAACGCGUAUCCAACCUGCCCACCACUUGGGGAUAACCUUGCGAAAGUAAGACUAAUACCCAAUGAUAUCUCUAGAAGACAUCUGAAAGAGAUUAAAGAUUCAUCGGUGAUGGAUGGGGAUGCGUCUGAUUAGCUUGUUGGCGGGGUAACGGCCCACCAAGGCAACGAUCAGUAGGGGUUCUGAGAGGAAGGUCCCCCACAUUGGAGCUGAGACACGGUCCAAACUCCUACGGGAGGCAGCA
rnacentral:rRNA from 1 species